rnacentral:lncRNA from 1 species
CUCCUUCUCCCUCUCCACCACCACCUUACGAGUACAAGUCGCCACCCCCUCCUUCUCCCUCUCCGCCAUCACCAUCUCCUCCACCACCUUACUACUACAAAUCACCACCCCCUCCUUCUCCUUCUCCACCACCACCUUACUACUACAAGUCUCCACCACCUCCAUCACCAUCUCCUCCACCACCAUACUACUAUAAAUCACCUCCUCCACCCUCUCCAUCACCUCCUCCACCAUAUUACUACAAGUCCCCACCACCUCCAUCACCUUCACCCCCACCACCUUACUACUAUAAGUCUCCACCUCCACCUUCACCAUCACCACCUCCACCUUACUACUACAAGUCUCCUCCACCACCUUCACCAUCACCUCCACCACCAUACUACUACUCUUCCCCACCACCACCCAAGAAAUCACCUCCUCCACCAUACUACUACUCCUCUCCUCCACCACCCAAGAAGUCACCUCCACCUCCAUACUACUACAGUUCUCCACCACCACCAGUUAAGUCUCCUCCUCCGCCAUACUAUUACUCCUCACCACCACCACCCAAAAAGUCACCUCCGCCACCAUACUACUACUCCUCACCACCACCACCUAAGAAGUCUCCUCCACCAUACUACUACCACUCCCCUCCACCACCAGUUAAGUCUCCUCCUCCUCCAUACUACUACCACUCCCCUCCACCACCAGUUAAGUCUCCUCCUCCUCCUCCAUACUACUACACUUCCCCUCCACCACCUACUCCUUACUAUCCUCCUCAUCAUCCCUUGAUCGUUAAGGUUGUCGGAAAAGUCUAUUGCUACAGAUGCUACGACUGGAAAUAUCCAAAGAAAUCCCAUGACAAGAAGCACCUUAAAGGUAUACUAUUUUUCUCUGCCACAUUUUCUCUUACAUUAUUCUUGUUCUGUUUAAUAUUUCUUCAUAACUAUAUAUAUUUAUCUCAAGUAUGUGGUUCCUUCUUGCUUUAAAGAUUUAGCUCAAAAUUUGAAAAAUCUUGGCUCUAUUAUAAUUCCCUACAAAAAGAUGCGAAAGAAAAGAAAGUUGAUAAAUGCACUAAAGAUGAUUAUCAAAAAAUGCUUUAAAAACUAUUGAAUAAUUUUUUUUACAACUGAAUAUAUGAUGAAAAGAACANACUACAAAUCACCACCCCCUCCUUCUCCUUCUCCACCACCACCUUACUACUACAAGUCUCCACCACCUCCAUCACCAUCUCCUCCACCACCAUACUACUAUAAAUCACCUCCUCCACCCUCUCCAUCACCUCCUCCACCAUAUUACUACAAGUCCCCACCACCUCCAUCACCUUCACCCCCACCACCUUACUACUAUAAGUCUCCACCUCCACCUUCACCAUCACCACCUCCACCUUACUACUACAAGUCUCCUCCACCACCUUCACCAUCACCUCCACCACCAUACUACUACUCUUCCCCACCACCACCCAAGAAAUCACCUCCUCCACCAUACUACUACUCCUCUCCUCCACCACCCAAGAAGUCACCUCCACCUCCAUACUACUACAGUUCUCCACCACCACCAGUUAAGUCUCCUCCUCC